AAUCACUUGUUUAAAUAUUAAAAAGAAGAUGUAAGAUACCAUAGCCAUAAGAUGUUUGAACAAAUGGAGCAGUAAGGAAGUUACAGGAGGUAAAAUUUGUAUAAAGAAAAUUUGACCUUGAUAAGGUUAUCGUAAGAGUUGAAGUACCUAAUGAAGAAAUAGUUAAGAACUAUAUGAUUUAAAUUUCUGUACAUCAAGCUAUGGGAUUUGAACUUCUUGCCUCAGUAUUUGGAGAGACAGAUUG
rnacentral:lncRNA from 1 species